rnacentral:rRNA from 1 species
UCAAGUAAUUAAGUGCAUGUGGUGGAUGCCUUGGCAGUCAGAGGCGAUGAAAGACGUGAUAGCCUGCGAAAAGCUCCGGGGAGGCGGCAAAUAUCCUUUGAUCCGGAGAUGUCUGAAUGGGGGAACCCACCUACUUUAAGGUAGGUAUUGCAACAUGAAUACAUAGUGUUGCAAGGCGAACGAGGGGAAGUGAAACAUCUCAGUACCCUUAGGAAAAGAAAUCAAUUGAGAUUCCCUCAGUAGCGGCGAGCGAACGGGGAUCAGCCCAUUAAGUUAUGUGUGUUUUAGUGGAACGCUCUGGGAAGUGCGAACGUAGAGGGUGAUAUUCCCGUACACGAAAGGGCACACAUAAUGAUGACGAGUAGGGCGAGGCACGUGAAACCUUGUCUGAAUAUGGGGGGACCAUCCUCCAAGGCUAAAUACUCCUGACUGACCGAUAGUGAACCAGUACCGUGAGGGAAAGGCGAAAAGAACCCCUGUGAGGGGAGUGAAAUAGAUCCUGAAACCGCAUGCAUACAAGCAGUGGGAGCACCUUCGUGGUGUGACUGCGUACCUUUUGUAUAAUGGGUCAGCGACUUAUAUUCAGUAGCAAGGUUAACCGUAUAGGGGAGCCGUAGAGAAAUCGAGUCUUAAUAGGGCGUUUAGUUGCUGGGUAUAGACCCGAAACCAGGCGAUCUAUCCAUGAGCAGGUUGAAGGUUGGGUAACACUAACUGGAGGACCGAACCCACUGUCGUUGAAAAGCCAGGGGAUGACUUGUGGAUAGGGGUGAAAGGCUAAUCAAGCCUGGUGAUAGCUGGUUCUCCCCGAAAGCUAUUUAGGUAGCGCCUCGGACGAAUACCAUAGGGGGUAGAGCACUGUUUCGGCUAGGGGGUCAUCCCGACUUACCAAACCGAUGCAAACUCCGAAUACCUAUGAGUACUAUCCGGGAGACAGACUGCGGGUGCUAACGUCCGUAGUCAAGAGGAAAACAAUCCAGACCGCCAGCUAAGGCCCCAAAAUCAUAGUUAAGUGGGAAACGAUGUGGGAAGGCAUAGACAGCUAGGAGGUUGGCUUAGAAGCAGCCACCCUUUAAAGAAAGCGUAAUAGCUCACUAGUCGAGUCGGCCUGCGCGGAAGAUGUAACGGGGCUAAAACUAUGUGCCGAAGCUGCGGAUGUAUACUUUGUAUACGUGGUAGGGGAGCGUUCUGUAAGCCGAUGAAGGUGUGUUGAGAAGCAUGCUGGAGGUAUCAGAAGUGCGAAUGCUGACGUGAGUAACGACAAAACGGGUGAAAAACCCGUUCGCCGAAAGACCAAGGGUUCCAGUCCAACGUUAAUCGGGGCUGGGUGAGUCGACCCCUAAGGCGAGGCCGAAAGGCGUAGUCGAUGGGAAAAUGGUUAAUAUUCCAUUACUUCUGUGUAAUGCGAUGAGAGGACGGAGAAGGCUAAAUCAGCCUGGCGUUGGUUGUCCAGGUGAAAGGAUGUAGGCAUGUAUCUUAGGCAAAUCCGGGGUACUCUAUGCUGAGAUCUGAUAGCAAGCUGUACUUGUACAGCGAAGUGGUUGAUGCCAUGCUUCCAGGAAAAGUCUCUAAGCUUCAGUUACACAGGAAUCGUACCCGAAACCGACACAGGUGGUCAGGUCGAGUAGACCAAGGCGCUUGAGAGAACUCUGCUGAAGGAACUAGGCAAAAUGGUACCGUAACUUCGGGAGAAGGUACGCUGUUGUUGGUGAUGGAACUCGCUUCCUGAGCUGACGACAGCCGCAGAAACCAGGCCGCUGCAACUGUUUAUUAAAAACAUAGCACUCUGCAAACACGAAAGUGGACGUAUAGGGUGUGAUGCCUGCCCGGUGCUGGAAGGUUAAUUGAUGGGGUUAGCGUAAGCGAAGCUCUUGAUCGAAGCCCCAGUAAACGGCGGCCGUAACUAUAACGGUCCUAAGGUAGCGAAAUUCCUUGUCGGGUAAGUUCCGACCUGCACGAAUGGCAUAAUGAUGGCGGCGCUGUCUCCAGCAGAGGCUCAGUGAAAUCGAAAUCGCUGUGAAGAUGCAGUGUACCCGCGGCUAGACGGAAAGACCCCGUGAACCUUUACUGCAGCUUGACACUGAACUUUGACCUUACUUGUGUAGGAUAGGUGGGAGGCUUUGAAGCUGGAACGCUAGUUCCAGUGGAGCCGUCCUUGAAAUACCACCCUGGUAAUGUUGAGGUUCUAACUCUGUCCCGUGAUCCGGGACGAGGACCGUGUCUGGUGGGUAGUUUGACUGGGGCGGUCUCCUCCUAAAGAGUAACGGAGGAGUACGAAGGUGCGCUCAGCGUGGUCGGAAAUCACGCGUAGAGUAUAAAGGCAAAAGCGCGCUUAACUGCGAGACCCACAAGUCGAGCAGGUACGAAAGUAGGUCUUAGUGAUCCGGUGGUUCUGUAUGGAAGGGCCAUCGCUCAACGGAUAAAAGGUACUCUGGGGAUAACAGGCUGAUACCGCCCAAGAGUUCAUAUCGACGGCGGUGUUUGGCACCUCGAUGUCGGCUCAUCUCAUCCUGGGGCUGAAGCAGGUCCCAAGGGUAUGGCUGUUCGCCAUUUAAAGAGGUACGCGAGCUGGGUUUAGAACGUCGUGAGACAGUUCGGUCCCUAUCUACCGUGGGCGCUGGAAAUUUGAGAGGAUCUGCUCCUAGUACGAGAGGACCAGAGUGGACGAACCUCUGGUGUACCGGUUGUGACGCCAGUCGCAUCGCCGGGUAGCUAAGUUCGGAAGGGAUAACCGCUGAAAGCAUCUAAGCGGGAAGCCUACCUCAAGAUAAGAUUUCCCUAGGACUUUAUGUCCUCUAAAGAGCCGUUCGAGACUAGGACGUUGAUAGGUUGGAUGUGGAAGCAUAGUGAUAUGUGAAGCUGACCAAUACUAAUUGCUCGUGAGGCUUGACUAU